AUAAAAAGUUGAGGAAACCUAUGUAAAUUAAUCUUUUUGUAUGAAAUGCUAAUUAAAUAUAAAAAUAUAUAUUGAUGCAAUAAUACAACGAAGAGAUCACUAUAUUUGCUUUUUGUCUAUCACGCCAUUUUCAUUGCAUAUCGAUAUGACAAGAAUUAUCGAUUCGCGGUAGACAGUUCGAUAGUGACAUCUUCAGCCAGGAAGUAAAUAUUGAGUACAAAUGCAUCUGUGAUAUUCUGAAAGGAUUAUUGUUCAUUUUAUUUGGUUUAUCUUUAUAGAGUUUUGUUUAAAUUUAAACAAAUAUACUUUAUAUUACAAGCAUCCAAACACAUUGUGAUGGAUACAAAUGAUGAAGGCAGGUCUUCUACGUUUACGCUUGUGGUACAUGGAAAAGAAGCGUUCUUUCACGCGGAUCAAAGGAGGACUUUAAAGAUCAAGUGAUCGGAGGAUCGUUAAAUCGAUCGAGCAGUACUACUGACAAUGAGUAGUAACGAGUCGAGCGAUGAUUCAGUGCUGUAGCACCGAUAGCCAGUCGAGCGGGACUCAUUAUUUCAACCAUAACUCCCAAGAUAUGUUAAAAUACAAUCUCGAUCAUAGCAGCGACGCUUGAUUAUACGACAGAAGAAGAUAUGCAUAUGUUGAAAAUGUUAAGGACGCAUCUAUCCUUUUUAAUUAACUAAACAGAAAAGUUCAAGAUAUUUUCCUUUUAACUUUUUUCUUAUCAAACUGUAAAAGUUCAAAAAUCUUUCAAAUGCGUUCUUUUGUAAUUUACAUAAAAAUAUCAAAAGUUGAUAACAGUUGUAAUAUUAUAAGAUGAAUUCGACUAGAUCAGAAAUUAUAAUGUACUUGAAAUUUUGUGUAUGAAACUAUUUUUUUCUUUUUAUAUAUAUAUUAUAUUACUCUUUAAAUUCUUUUAAUCUAAUCACCUAAAAAUAUCAGGGCGGAUCUGAGAUAAAUCAAAAUGUAUUUGCGUUUAAAUAUUAAUAAGAAAGAUAAUAAGACAAGAUCUGAGAAAAAAAAGUAGAACCAACUCGGUAUUUUAUCCAGUAUGUCUUAACGUUCUUCGCUGUUGCAAAAUCUCAUUUGUUGCAUGUCUCGACUGGAGGUUGGCUAAAGAGUGAUCCGUCUUGAGAAUGGACUGACAAAACGUUUCCGUGGUUUGCCGUAAUAGUGGAAAAAUAAGAUACAUACGCAGAAGAGCCAACAUAAUGCAUUACUUCAAUCUAUCUUUAUCGAAACUUUGACUACUAUAAAAAGUUAAUCGUUUGAUAGAAAAUAGUAAACUUUUAUAAUCCACUUCAUUUUUCUUUAUUGUGCAUAAAUUUAACAAUUUGAAUGAAAUCAAUGAAAAACAAUAAUAAAAUUAGAAAGGCAAAUAAAGUGUUGUAAAUAAAAUAAAAUAAAAGUUGACGAAUUGUUUAAUUGAAUUGAAUUGAAAAAACAUAAAGUAAAGAAAAAAAAUGUAGAAACUUCAUUGUCUUAAAUAUGAAUAUAGUGGGAACAAUUCGAGCUACAGAAUAACGUGAAUUAAACGUAUGGAUUGUAAAUCUAUAUAAAAGAAUGUCUUCUUUACUCGACUUGACCCUCAAAAGUUGAGUAAGAAAUUCAUGUCUUCGUCCUCCCACGCACCGGAAUUAUCUUAGAGAAUGAAAAUACACUCUAUGUACCUAUAUAAAGAGGCUAUCGAUACUACUUAAUAUCUUGAGUAUAAAACAAAUGUUUUUAAUACAAAUUUUUGAUUGCAAUAAGGAGAAUGAAACAUUUAAAAUACAUUACUUAUACAAGAGAAUAUGUGAGUUCUCGAUAUUUCAAUAGACUAUCUAAUAGUAAUCUCAUAAUACAUUUGUUAUUAUAAUGAACACAUAGAGAAAAAAAUCUUUUUGUCUAUUUUCAAUUUGUAUAUCUUUAAUAA